rnacentral:rRNA from 1 species
CAGCAGCCACGGGAAUACGUAGGGUGCAAGCGUUAAUCGGAAUUACUGGGCGUAAAGCGUGCGCAGGCGGUUUGUUAAGACAGAUGUGAAAUCCCCGGGCUCAACCUGGGAACUGCAUUUGUGACUGGCAAGCUAGAGUGUGGCAGAGGGGGGUGGAAUUCCGCGUGUAGCAGUGAAAUGCGUAGAUAUGCGGAGGAACACCGAUGGCGAAGGCAGCCCCCUGGGCCAACACUGACGCUCAUGCACGAAAGCGUGGGGAGCAAACGGGAUUAGAUACCCCAGUAGUCCCUGUCUCUUAUAC